UACAGAGGGUGCAAGCGUUGUUCGGAAUUACUGGGCGUAAAGCGCGUGUAGGUGGCGAUGUAAGUCGGGUGUGAAAUCCCUCGGCUCAACCGAGGAAGUGCACUCGAUACUGUGUCGCUUGAGUGUUGGAGGGGAUGGCGGAAUUCCCGGUGUAGAGGUGAAAUUCGUAGAUAUCGGGGAGGAACACCUGUGGCGAAGGGCGGCCAUCUGGACAACUACUGACACUGAGACGCGAAAGCGUGGGUAGCAAACACGG
rnacentral:rRNA from 1 species